rnacentral:rRNA from 1 species
GCGGCCGAUUAGGUAGUUGGUUAGGUAAUGGCUUACCAAGCCGUUGAUCGGUACGGGUUGUGAGAGCAAGAGCCCGGAGAUGGAACCUGAGACAAGGUUCCAGGCCCUACGGGGUGCAGCAGGCGCGAAACCUCCGCAAUGUGAGAAAUCGCGAUGGGGGGAUCCCAAGUGCCAUUCUUAACGGGAUGGCUUUUCAUUAGUGUAAAGAGCUUUUGGAAUAAGAGCUGGGCAGGACCGGUGCCAGCCGCCGCGGUAACACCGGCAGCUCUAGUGGUAACAAUUUUUAUUGGGCCUAAAGCGUCCGUAGCCGGUUUAAUAAGUCUCUGGUGAAAUCCUGUAGCUUAACUGUGGGAAUUGCUGGAGAUACUAUUAGACUUGAGACCGGGAGAGGUUAGAGGUACUCCCAGGGUAGAGGUGAAAUUCUGUAAUCCUGGGAGGACCGCCUGUUGCGAAGGCGUCUAACUGGAACGGUUCUGACGGUGAGGGACGAAAGUUAGGGGCGCGAACCGGAUUAGAUACCCGGGUAGUCCUAACUGUAAACGAUGCGGACUUGGUGUUGGGGUGGCUUUGAGCUGCUCCAGUGCCGAAGGGAAGCUGUUAAGUCCGCCGCCUGGGAAGUACGGUCGCAAGACUGAAACUUAA